ensembl:lincRNA
CGAAUGUUACAAUUCCUAUUUUACUGAGAAACUUCUGGUUGUUUGUGACUGGCUACUAUUUGGGAUAGAGUCGUGAUGGUUAUAAGUAGGUGCGGAGGGAUUUUUCUAUGCCUUUAGGAGACGCGCAUAAUACUAGCCAGGAUGUUCCUUCUUGUUUCAACGACAAGGCUUGGCUCUGCCCCAGCUGGCAGCAGGUGACAUCUUCAAGGCGUUUCAACUCCUCAGGAAUGUUCCUUCUUGUUUCACUGACAAGGCUUGUGCUGGCUUCAGAUUGAAAAAAUGCCAUCUUAAAGAUAUUCCAGCUCCUCAAGGUCAGCAGUUUUCUACACCCUGAAUCAUUUUAAGCAUAUGUUAACCCAUGGGGUGGUGCAAGGAAUGCCACAACAAUUCAGUAAAAUAAAUUGAAGAG